AUUGAACGCUGGCGGCAGGCCUAACACAUGCAAGUCGAGCGGAGCGGCGGACGGGUGAGUAAUGCCUAGGAAUCUGCCUGGUAGUGGGGGAUAACGUCCGGAAACGGGCGCUAAUACCGCAUACUAUCAGAUGAGCCUAGGUCGGAUUAGCUAGUUGGUGGGGUAAAGGCCUACCAAGGCGACGAUCCGUAACUGGUCUGAGAGGAUGAUCAGUCACACUUGAACAUAUACACGAGCCAGAAUCCUACGGUAAGCAGGAGUGUGGAAGAUUUGACAAUGGGCGAAAGCCUGAUCCAGCCCCGCCGCUUGUGUGAAGAAGGAUGUCGGAUUGUAAAGCACGUUAAGUUGGAAGGCGUUACCAACAGAAUAAGCACCGGCGAUCUUCAGGCGAGCCGCCGCGGUAAUUC
rnacentral:rRNA from 1 species